AUACUUACCUGACAGGGGAGAUACCAUGAUCACGAAGGUGAUUUUCCCAGGUGAGGUUUAUCCAUUGCACUCCAGAUUGCACUCCCUGAGAUUUCCCCAAAUGAGGGAAACUCGACUGCAUGAUUUGUGGUAGUGGGGGACUGCGUUCGCGCUCUCCCCUG